rnacentral:rRNA from 1 species
GAUCAUGGCUCAGGAUGAACGCUGGCGGCGUGCCUAAUACAUGCAAGUAGAACGCUGAAGGAAGGAGCUUGCUCUUUCCGGAUGAGUUGCGAACGGGUGAGUAACGCGUAGGUAACCUGCCUGGUAGCGGGGGGAUAACUAUUGGAAACGAUAGCUAAUACCGCAUAACAAUAGAUGUUGCAUGACAACUAUUUGAAAGGGGCAAUUGCUCCACUACCAGAUGGACCUGCGUUGUA